rnacentral:lncRNA from 1 species
UAUACAAGACUGCUUCCAAGGGGAGCGCUUGAGGGGCAGAUGGGGCAGUAAGGGGGCGGGGGUGGGGAGGCAAGAAAAGAGAGGACAGAAAGUGUACAAGAGCACAGUGAUAGGAUACUGUGGCUUUUGCCCAGAUUGCCAAAAAUUAACCAUGUAUAUUUUAGGUUUUGUAAUUCUUAAAAUUUAGAGCUAAUCCUUGAUAUAGUUGACUGAUUCUUCAGUUCUCUUCAUAUAAAUAAAAUUUUUUUCACAAACUGUAAGAGAAGCUAUAAUUAAAUCCAACAGUAAAUCUCCUAAACAAGCAUGUAGCUUGAGGGUUUUGUUGAGGGGGCGGGGUGAGUACGGGUGUGUGUGUCCCUUAGAGUAGAAGUUUUAUGACUGAGUUUUAGGUCAAUGAAAAAAUCAGUUUUACAAUGGAAACACUGACAGUUUUUACUGUCGCAGCCACCCCCUGCUCACACACUGCAUCCAUAUGCAGAUAUGUCCACAUCUGAGAGCAUUUGAAAGAGGGGCCUGCAGACAUGGUGUAAUGCUCACGUGUUCUUUCCUUCAAUCUGGGUACUGAUAGGAAGGAUUUCUUUUGUGGUUAAAUACCCGUUUUUGUAGAAAGCAACACAGCUCCUUGGGUAAAGUAAUGUCUCUCCUAAUAGAUGAUUCCAUUUUGCUGUUCAUCUACCUGGCAUCACAGGUGAUUCCUGAGGUAGGUGUUGGGCUCUAUGGAAAAAAGAAGGCUUUACUCAACAGGACUGACUUAUUUACCCUGGAAAUAGAGAGAAGUAUUUGAUGAGAAGCCAUUCGUGGAGGAUGCAUGAUUCCCCAAGAAGGGGACUGAGGCCACUCCAGGGCCCAAUGCCUGUCUGGGAGACCCAGUCUUUGGCCAGCCUGCCAGCCUAUCCACUCAGCCCAAAUUGGAAUUGGCCAGGAUGCAUGUUCACCCUGAGGGCUGAGAGGGACAGGAACUGCCCUUGGGGAGCCAUGAUGGGCCCUGCCUUGUGGCUCACCUCAGAGGUGGGUACUGGGCACUGGCUUCAGGUGGCCUUCUUUCCUGACCCUUCCCUGUGGUCAGGGAGCCUGGAUGCUCCCAGAUGCAGUUUCCAGAUGUUGUGCUUUGCUCUCAUCUUUGAUAUAUUUAAAAAGUCACUCAAAUCUGAAAAGCG